AGAUAGAUAUUAUUCAUUAGAGGAUAUGCUGCUGAUGCUGCCACAUCCAAAGGAAACAAGGCAAGCACGCAACGCAGAGACAGGCAUCGUCGCUACUCCUGCUCCGUGUUUGCUUCAGCCACCGUAUCUACCCCAUGCGGGCCGCCGCUGCUUGAAGUUCUCUCGGGGCACGAAGAAGACACCCACCCUAUCCCGUGGGAUUGCGCAUUGAACUUCUCUUUUUUCUAUGGCAACGCUCACGAGCUGCAGUUUCUGCAUUGUGAACCUGAAGUUCAUUCGCUGGACUCAAAAUGGCAACCCCAGCAGAAAAAGAAUUCUACUCUUGGAACGUAAGAGCAAGUGCUUUUUGUGGGGCAGGCAGGACGAUCAGGUACCCAAGAAGAGGCAUCGAGCUACUUUUGUUAGGCCUAAUUUUUAUAGGUUUAGGUGUUUUGGAGCGAAUGACCGUGGUGAUAACGUCGGGGAGGGUGGCAACAAUUCGUCCAAGGAUUCGAAUUUGGCUACUGCGACAUCAUCGAUGGAUGAGUCGGAAGAAGACAGAAGAAUGAGCACUACCGAUGAAUUUGAUUCCGAUAAGUCGCCUCCUUCCGUUUCAUCAAGGCCACCAACAAUUUCACCUGUUGAACCAGCUUAUAAUAAUUUCCAAGUUGACUCUUUCAAACUGAUGGAACUCCUCGGACCAGAGAAGGUUGAUCCUGGGGAUGUAAAGCUUAUAAAGGAAAAGCUUUUUGGCUAUUCCACCUUUUGGGUGACCAAAGAAGAGCCAUUUGGAGACUUAGGAGAGGGUAUUCUUUUUCUUGGCAACUUGAGGGGCAAGAGAGAGGAGGUUUUUUCCAAACUUCAGAGUCAGCUGACUGACCUUAUGGGUGACAAGUACAACCUAUUUAUGGUGGAGGAACCCAAUUCAGAAGGACCAGAUCCCCGUGGGGGUCCUCGUGUUAGUUUUGGCAUGCUGCGUAAAGAGGUCUCAGAACCACAGUCAACAACAUUAUGGCAAUAUGUGAUUGCUCUUUUGUUGUUCCUUCUCACCAUUGGUUCCUCUGUGGAGCUAGGAAUUGCAUCUCAGAUAAAUAGGCUUCCACCAGAAGUAGUAAAAUACUUCACAGACCCAAAUGCAAUUGAACCACCAGAUAUGCAGCUUCUAUUCCCAUUUGUGGAGUCUGCUCUGCCCCUGGCAUAUGGUGUCCUGGGAGUUCAGCUAUUUCAUGAAGUAGGGCAUUUUUUGGCUGCUUUCCCAAAGAAAGUAAAACUAAGCAUUCCAUACUUCAUUCCUAACAUUACUCUUGGCAGCUUUGGCGCAAUCACUCAGUUCAAAUCUAUUCUUCCUGAUCGGAAGACAAAGGUUGAUAUUUCUCUUGCUGGUCCAUUUGCUGGGGCUGCACUAUCCUUUUCUAUGUUUUCUGUUGGAUUACUGCUUUCAUCAAACCCAGAUGCUGCAGGGGAUUUGGUGCAGGUUCCUAGCAUGCUAUUUCAAGGUUCUUUGCUACUUGGGUUAAUCAGCAGAGCCAUUUUGGGUUAUGCAGCGAUGCAUGCCGGGACAGUUUCGGUCCAUCCUCUUGUAAUUGCAGGCUGGUGUGGGUUAACUACAUCAGCUUUUAAUAUGCUCCCGGUGGGAUGUCUUGAUGGUGGAAGAGCAGUGCAGGGUGCCUUUGGAAAAAAUGCACUGAUUGGAUUUGGUUUGACGACCUACACAUUGCUUGGACUGGGAGUGCUUGGUGGGCCGUUGUCGCUUCCAUGGGGCCUGUAUGUGUUGAUAUGUCAGAGGGCACCAGAGAAACCGUGUUUGAAUGAUGUGACAGAGGUUGGAACAUGGAGGAAAACAGUUCUUGGGGCGGCUAUUUUACUUGUUGUGUUGACACUCUUUCCCGUAUGGGACGAGCUUGCAGAGGAGCUGGGUAUAGGCCUUAUAACUACAUUUUGAUGCAAAUAACAUAGCUAUCCAAUUUUGGCUUUGAAAGUAAAAUUAGAAAUAAAGGAGGGUGUGAGAUGAUUUUCUAGUUGGGAUUCUAGGCAACUGCAACCAUACCUGUGGCUGGAAACCAAACCAACUUCAGUUGCGUUUCGGUUACAACCCAAUCUUGAGAGGAGGUCUUGCACGCUGGAAAAUAUGUUUAGUCUGAAAAGCUAACAACCCUUGGGACACUUGCUUUAUCAUCAUUCAAAUCAAACGUAAUGUUUUUGAAGUCUCCGCACAUUCAAGGAGUUUCUUUGACAUGUGAUAAAGAGAACUAGGUAGGUCGGGAGGACCAUGCUAUUUUGCCAGAGGGGUUUAUUUGUUUAUUUAUUGAUUGAUAGAAGCAUGUCAAAAUAAUAAAAAUACCCUCCACACUCAUGCCUUCUGUAAUUGUUUCCCCUUCCUUUUCAUAAUUGUUGCAUCUCUCAUCUCUCCCCCUUUCCAUAGCCACCAUCACCUUGUCUCCUCACUGUUUUUCCUCACGCCUCGUGUUGCCUCGCUUCUCAUCUACUGACCGUCGUUGUAUCCACCUCCAACCAUGGAAAAUGAGAGAAAUGAGAGAGGCGAUGGCC